rnacentral:rRNA from 1 species
CUUAACACAUGCAAGUCGAAACGCGAAAGGGACUUCGGUCCUGAGUAAAGUGGCGCACGGGUGAGUAACGCGUAGAUAACCUGUCUUCAUGUCUGGAAUAAUACGCCAAAGGGGUACUAAUACCGGAUAUUCUUGCUUUUCAUAAGUUAUGCAAGCAAAGGUGGCCUCUGCAUAUGCUACUGCAUGAAGAGGGGUCUGCGUACCAUUAGCUAGUAGGUGGGGUAAUGGCCUACCUAGGCGACGAUGGUUAGCGGGUCUGAGAGGAUGAUCCGCCACACUGGCACUGGAACACGGGCCAGACUCCUACGGGAGGCAGCAGUGAGGAAUAUUGCGCAAUGGGGGAAACCCUGACGCAGCGACGCCGCGUGAGUGAAGGAAGGCCUUCGGGUCGUAAAGCUCUGUCAAGAGGAAAGAAGUGUACAAUGGCUAAUACCUGUUGUAUUUGACGGUACCUCUAAAGGAAGCACCGGCUAACUCCGUGCCAGCAGCGGC